GAUUUGAGUGGGAACACAACCACACCAUAUCAACAUACAAUGGAAUAUUAUUCAACUUUAAAAAAUUAAAUUCUGACAUACCCUACAACAUGAAUAUGAAAUGAGGACAUUGUAUUAAAUGGAAUAAGUCAGUUACAAAAAGACAAAUACUGUAUGAUUGCACUUAUAUGAGAUACUGAAAGUAGUCAAAAUCAUACAGAAAGUAGAAUAGUGGUUGCCAGGGCAUGCAGAGAGCAGGGAAUGUGGAGUUAUUAUUUAAUAGGUGUAGAGUUUCCGUUUUAUAAGAUGAAAAGAGUUAUGGAGAUGGCUGGUAGUGAUGGUUGCAUAACAUUAGGAGAGUGCUUAGUAACACUGAACUGUACACUUAAAAUGGUUAAGAUGGUAAAUUUUAUGUUUGUAUAUUCUAUCACAAGGAAAAAAGAAGUGUGUAUGUGCCUAGCAUAUAGCAAGCACUCACUAAUAUUAAUGUAUUAAUAUAAUGGUCACUGAGAACAAAUAAACCAAAGACCAUCAGUGGCUUAAAUAAGGCAAGUUUAUUUCAUAUUCAAGUAACAGAGUAUGUUUCUGGCCGGGUGCCCUCUACCUAGUCGUUCCAGGCCCAGGUGACUUCCAUUUUUUGCUUCUUGCUCCUCUAUGGCUAUAGACAUUUUUUCAUUUGCACAGAGUGUAGAGAAAGAAAGAGAAUAAAGGAUUACAUGGGAACAUUCUAUGGGCCAGCCUAAGAAAUGGCUCAUAUUAUUAUUGGUGAGAACCCAGUUACAUAUCUAUGUCUAACAACAAGGGAAGCAGAGGAAUAUAGGCUAAGUAUGUGCCUAGAAAGUAGACAGAGAAAUUGUGCAACAUAUUGCAAUCUGUAUUAGCAAUAUGGCAACGUACAUUAGAAACACAGUCAUCUCUCCUACCAUUGGCUGUUACCUUACUUAGUCCUCAUAACGAGUCUGGUAAGGUAAGAGAGAAAAUGACUAGUUCAGGGACAUCCUGCAAGUAAGAGGGUUUCAUUAUAGCAAACAAAAUGUGUAUACAACAGCUACUAGAGCAGUGCUUUUCAGUUCUCUGUUCAGCUUAAAACUUUUCUUGGUUGAUUGCUAACCUAAUUACCAUCAACACAGUGCCUUCUUGAAGCUCCCAGAGACUUCAAGCAGGGAGAAGAAGACUGUCAGCUGCCCCGCCGGCUGCUUGUACUUCUUAUUCUUUCAGUAACGUCUUUCUUCUUUCAGUAACCAUAAAACUUUAAGGAAGUUCAGAAUUGUUCCUCAUAAGAAAGUGCUUAGAGACUGCUGCACUGGAAUUCAAUGCCCCUAUUAUCAUAAAUUUAAUAUCCACACUUACUUUUAGUCCUAGGGGCCUAUGAGGCUAUAAAAGAAAGAUUGGCAGAUAGAGUAGACACAAUCGGCUUAUACACAUUUUGCAGAAACACUGAAGCCCACAGAAUUUCCUCUACAUUUCAUUUAGUACCUUCUUCUGUCAAGUUUGUCUCCAUUUUGCCUGUACUUCAUUUUAUUUUUAUAAUAGAGAGCUCUCAUACUUGUUAUCUCUGAGUAUGUUAACAGUCUCUUUUGAGUAAAACAUUGCCCAUAUUGCAUUUUCGUGGAUAACUAAGUAUUCACCUACUGGACCAAUCAUCUGUUGAAAUCUGUAUUUUCUUGAAUUCAGUUCAUAUCGUACUCUUGAGUCUGUGUCACUUUGCUCAAACUUUGCAUCACAUCCAAGCUAUCUUUUGGAAAGGAGACUGAAUUUUUGAGUUUGGUAGCCUUAGAGAAAGAAGGCUGCAGAUGGAUGUGUGAGGUAUGAAUGGUGACUUAUCUAGUUACUAGAAGCAAGGUCAUAUUGUAAUUCAAUUCAGUAAGGACCCGCUGGAGCUAUAAAGAGCCUUAGAGAUGAUCUGGCUCAACCCUUUCAUUUUAUAGAUGAGCAAACUGAAAUCUCAAGAAGGCCAACACGUCCACGUACUUCAGAGCAUCUUGGAAAUUUGACUGUAUUUAAAUCCUUAUCCAAGGUCCCACUGCUGGUUAAUAGGAGAGCUGGGCUAAAAUCUCGUUUUCUUGAUUUUUCUCUUAUCUUAGUGUAACUUUAAUUAGGAUCCUCAGGCCUUCCGGAAGUUCAUGGGAUAUACUUUUAAGAGUCUGCGACUUUGCUAUAUAUGAACCUCAAAGCACGGAUAACAAAAGCAAAAGUAUAUGAAUAGGAUUACAUUAAACUAAAAAGCUUUUUCACAGCCAAGGAAAUAACCAACAGAGUGAAUAAACAGCCUACAGAAUGGGAGAACAUAUAUGUCUCAUACAUACCAUACAUCUGAUAAUGGGUUAAUAUCAAAAAUAUAUAAAUAAACAGUUCAAUAGUAAGAAAAUAACCUGAUUACAAAAUGAGCAAAAUAUCUGAAUAGACAUUUCUCAAAAGAAUAUGUUCAAGUGACCAACAAGUGUAUGUCGAUUUUUAAAAAAUUCUCAAAAUCACAAAUUAUCAGAGAAAUGCAAAUCAAAACCACAAUGAGCUAUCACUUCACACCUGUUGCAGUAGCUAUUAUCAAAAGAUGAAAGAAAACUUUGGCAAGGAUGUGUAGAAAAGAGAAUAUAUAUAUAUGUUUGGGGAGAGAGAGCUCUGAACCGAAGUCAGAAGAUUUGAGUGUGUCACUUGCCAGCCGUGUACCUCUCAAUGUGCCAUUGACAGUCUCUCAGCUUUCACAUGCUCCCUGAGAAGUCAGAGUGAAAACAUCCAUCUGGCCUGCCUCGUCAGUUUCCAGAUCAAAUCAAACUGUUCAGGGAAGUACUUUGCAAAUGGUGGAAUGUGUAGACCAUUUUAUCAUGAUGCUGGGAUAGUGGAAGGCUCUGUGAGUGGUGGGCUUCCAGAAUGGGGUUCCCACAGACUGUGGCAGCCUGUGCCAUGUGGAUGAUGUCUAGUGUAGAAUAUACCAGCCAACUGCACCUGCUCCCUUUCACUUCAGUGCCUGAGAAGAAAACAGAACUGCCAGCAGUCCAUGGGACAAAUGACUAAAUGCCCUCCAGACAGUUCAGAGUCCUCUGCCUUUCAGACUUCGGUUCUUCCUGAAGGAAUCUCAGUCUGGAAAGCAGGAAGAAAUUUGUUAUGGAAUUUUUCCAUCACAGACAUGAAAAUACUAUAUGUAACUCCUAAGGAUUGUGUAUAACAGAGAUACCAGGACACUCUGCAUCCCUAAGUCUCCCUUGUGCCGUUGCUGCAGGCAAGACUCAGGAGCCACAGGAGGUUCAGGGAGAGCACGAGAGUCGAGAAUGGCUAUAAGCAUCUUGAAGGCAGAGAUUAUAUCUCAUUCAAUCUUCUAUCUCAAGUAUCUACUGCAAGACCAAGCAAAUGAGUCUUGCUCUGUCGCCCAGACUGGAGUGCGGUGGCACAAUCUCGGCUCACUGCAGGCUUCACCGCUCGGGUUCAUGCCAUUCUCCUGCCUCAGCCUCCUGAGUAGCUGGGAGUAGAUGACUUAUUCCGAAAGGAUUUUCUCAGCCUUUCAGCAAGACUAGACAUUCUACUGCCUUUUCUCAUCUCCCCAUUGUAAGCUUUUGCUGUGUGACUCCUUGAGAAAUAUCCAAAUUCUCAAUGACUCCUUUUAAGUUAAAGUGUUUACUUAACAGCGAAUGAUCAAUGUUGAGCUAAACAGGGAAGAAAUCAUCUGUAUAGUUACAUUUCUUUAUAUCUCCCAGCACAUGUUUGCCUAUUUUAAAUGCUAACGUGGCAAGCUAUGUUGGAUAAGCAUUCUGGGGUGUCCAUGUGUUCAUUAUUUUGCAGCAUAAAAUGGAGAUACUCAAUCUUUGAAAAUUGCUUUCUGAGUUUGGAUACUGUAUCGUGUCUUGUAACUCAUAUUUGUUCUCAAUAAAAAGGCAUUA